rnacentral:rRNA from 1 species
UACGUAGGGUGCGAGCGUUAAUCGGAAUUACUGGGCGUAAAGCGUGCGCAGGCGGUUUUGUAAGCCAGGUGUGAAAUCCCCGGGCUCAACCUGGGAAUGGCAUUUGGGACUGCAAGGCUGGAGUGCGGCAGAGGAGACUGGAAUUCCUGGUGUAGCAGUGAAAUGCGUAGAUAUCAGGAGGAACACCGAUGGCGAAGGCAGGUCGUCUGGGCUGACACUGACGCUCAUGCACGAAGCGUGG